rnacentral:rRNA from 1 species
GAUGAACGCUGGCGGCGUGCCUAAUACAUGCAAGUCGGGCGAACGGACGAGAAGCUUGCUUCUCUGAUGUUAGCGGCGGACGGGUGAGUAACACGUGGAUAACCUACCUAUAAGACUGGGAUAACUUCGGGAAACCGGAGCUAAUACCGGAUAAUAUUUUGAACCGCAUUGUUCAAAAGUGAAAGACGGUCUUGCUGUCACUUAUAGAUGGAUCCGCGCUGCAUUAGCUAGUUGGUAAGGUAACGGCUUACCAAGGCAACGAUGCAUAGCCGACCUGAGAGGGUGAUCGGCCACACUGGAACUGAGACACGGUCCAGACUCCUACGGGAGGCAGCAGUAGGGAAUCUUCCGCAAUGGGCGAAAGCCUGACGGAGCAACGCCGCGUGAGUGAUGAAGGUCUUCGGAUCGUAAAACUCUGUUAUUAGGGAAGAACAUAUGUGUAAGUAACUGUGCACAUCUUGACGGUACCUAAUCAGAAAGCCACGGCUAACUACGUG